GUUGAACGCUGGCGGCAUGCCUAACACAUGCAAGUCGAACGGCAGCACGGCAGUAGCAAUACUGUGGGUGGCGAGUGGCGGACGGGUGAGGAAUACGUCGGAAUCUGCCCAGUCGUGGGGGAUAACUAGCCGAAAGGUUAGCUAAUACCGCAUACGACCGAGAGGUGAAAGCGGGGGACCGCAAGGCCUCGCGCGAUUGGAUGAGCCGACGUCGGAUUAGCUAGUUGGUGGGGUAAAGGCCCACCAAGGCGACGAUCCGUAGCUGGUCUGAGAGGAUGAUCAGCCACACUGGAACUGAGACACGGUCCAGACUCCUACGGGAGGCAGCAGUGGGGAAUAUUGGACAAUGGGCGCAAGCCUGAUCCAGCAAUGCCGCGUGUGUGAAGAAGGCC
rnacentral:rRNA from 1 species